rnacentral:sRNA from 1 species
GGAAUGAAUGGCAGCCCUCCCUGGAGAGGCAGCCUGUUUACUGAAUACAGAGGAUACGUUUACAAACUGAAUACGCAUAAUAAAUAACUGCACAUUCUCCAUCCACAGUCCACGGCAUGAAGGCCCAAGUGGGUCUAUCAAAGGCCCACAUCUCCAAAACCCUGUCCUGCCCUCAGGACCAGGCCCAUGGUGAGGACAGGGGCUGCUGAAGGCACAGAGAAAGGGCUGGAGUCAGACAUUCUUCACCCACUGCGGGCCACAUAGGCCUAUCUCCAGAGAGGGCAUCGGGCCCAGAUGGCACCGCAGUGUGUGGCCAGGCUGGGCCGUGCCGCAUGUGUGCACAGCCAGGCGGCUCA